CCCUUAGAUGUUCUGGGCCGCACGCGCGCUACACUGAUGCAUUCAACGAGUCUAAAACCUGCUCUGAUAGGGGUGGGUAAUUUUUUGAAUGUGCAUCGUGAUUGGGAUAGAUGAUUGCAAUUUUUCAUCUUCAACGAGGAAUGCCUAGUAAACGCAAGUCAUCAGCUUGCAUUGAUUACGUCCCUGCCCUUUGUACACACCGCCCGUCGCUCCUACCGAUUGAAUGAUCCGAUGAAUAUCAUGGAUUGAGGAUGUAAGCAGGUUCGCCUGUCUUCAUCUUCGAGAAGUGAAGUAAAUCUUAUCAUUUAGAGGAAGGAGAAGUCGUAACA
rnacentral:rRNA from 1 species